rnacentral:tRNA from 1 species
CGCUGCAACGGUACGGCUUCCGCAUGCUGCUCGGCUCCGUGCCGGGCACCGAGGUGGUCGGCGAGGCCGAGCACGGCGCCGAGGCCGUGCGCAGGGCC